AGUAUCGUCUUUAUAUUACCUCUGCUAGAUACAAGUAUCAUCACCUCCAAGCAGAAGAAACUGAAGCACGGAUAUUAGGUAACUCGACCAAGGUCACAGGUAAGCUGGGAACCCAACCUUCUGCAGGCAGUUCUUGCCCUUGGGCCAGUACGUUUUUCAGAAUGCGAGGAGGUGAUGAUUAUGAUGAAGUAAUCUAUCUACAUGACUUGGGGUUUUCACUGUUGUCAAAGCGUGGAGCUUCAUUUCCAAAAGGAUCCGGGGUAGUCAUCUGCCAGCUUUGUUCAAACUUGUGAACAAGAGCGUUCGACAAAACUCACCCCUCAUUAAUUUGACUCUUCCCAGCAAUGGGAAAGGUCUCUAGAAAUCCUUCUCUGAACUGCACUCAAAAUGAGGGAGCUAUGAAAGCGACUUUGGGAAAGGGGUCCUGGUGCAAGCCUCUAGCUACGUAUGCCAUCUUCGGUUGCAGCACCGUGCGGGGUGCCCAGAUCAGAAACCAGCCAAGGUGGCAGAGUCUGUAGGAAGAGCCAAAGACUGAAGUGGGACAGCGCCUACCAAAACUACACACAGGCACUUAAAGGGCUGCUCUCACGUGACCCAGCGCCUCGCAUCCGGGCCGCGCACGGACCCGCAGUACCCCUGAGUCACCUCGGCUGCAGCAGCAGGAUCGGGACCCGUCGCAACUGGUUCCUGUCCACCGCAGCCAACAACGCCGCCGCCGCCAUCUCCGCGCUGUUCUGCUGGAUUCCAAAAGCUGCUUGGCUUAUUCUUGAAAGCGUCCCUCCCUGCGCAAGCUUCUUGUCCCCGAUCCGCCACCGUAGCUCCGAAGAGCAAGUAGGCGUCUCCGCAAGAGCCAAUCACAAAACUGGGUGUUUCAAGCUAGAUUGUCCUUGCUGCGUGAGACCCACCUGCUACAGUUGAGAAAGAAUGGAGCGAGGCCAGCUCAAUAUCACAGAUGCUGGAAGGCUGCCAAGCCACUCACAGACUUGACUUCAAUUUCCAUUGGAAAGCUGUCAUAGGAGAAGCUAACAGGUGAUCUUUCUGAGAUGACUACCUUGGAUUAAAAAUCUACAAUAGAACUCCAAGCACACAGAGAAGACAGUAGCUGACCACAUCUGAGCUAGUGCCCUUUGCAGUGGGCUGAGCCCGGCUACUGCCUAAGCAGAAAUUCAACUCAACAAGGCAAACUGAGACAAGUGAGUAGACAUACAACAAACAAGAGUGUGCCUGAUAAAGUCCUGCACACAAAUACCCCAACCAAACCUCCCCGAAAACAGUGCCACUAACUGGGAAACAAAUGGUCAAGUAUGGGGGAACAUUUCUUAUUCAAAACAUUGUCAAUUGGUGAAUAUGGGUUAUUGAAAUCGCCCACUUUUACUGUGUUUGGAUCAAUCUGUGGUUUUAGAUCUACCAGUUCUUCUUUUAUGAAAUGGGGUGGCCCUGUAUUUGAUGUACACGUGUUUAUUAUUGUAGUGUACGGUUGGUAGAUUUCCUUUUUCUUUGAGGAGAAUGAAGAAUCUCUCUGCCUUUGUUUGGGUUUUACUGCUGUGAACAGAUACCAUGAUCAAGGCAACUAUUACAAGGACAACAUUUAAUUGGAGUUGGCUUGCAGGUUCAGAGGUUCAGUCCAUUAUUAUCAAGGUGGGAGCAUGGCAGUGCCCAGUCAGGAAUGGCACUGGAGGAGCUGAGAAUUCAACAUCUUGUUCUGAAGGCAAACAGUUGAAGACUGGCUUCCAGGCAGCUAGGAUGUAGGUCUUAAAGCCCAAGCCCGCAGGGACACACCUGCUCCAACAAGGCCACACCUCCUAAUAGUGUCACUCCCUGGGCCAAGCAUAUACAAACCAUCACAUGCUCCUUACCUCUUUUGGCUAGUUUUGGUUUGAAGUCUGGUUUAUCAGACAUUAGAAUAUAUUUACAAUUUAGUUUCUUUUGUUUUGAAUACUUUUUUUUUUGCAUCUUUUACUCUAAAGUGAUGUCUAUUUUGAUAUGAGGCAUGUUUCUUAGAGGCAGAAAAAAAUAGAUCCCAUUUCUUAAUCCAAUCUUUUAAUCAGUCAAUUGCUGUCAUUUUGUUAAUUUUGUAAAGUUUUCUCAUAUCUUGUUGGAUUCCCUGCCAUGACGCUGUUUAUUUCAUUUCUGUGACUGCUUGACUGUGUUUAUCCUUCUUUUCAGCAUUCCUUCUGGUCACCCCCUGUAGAGCUGGCUUAGUAGUAGUAAAGUCCUUUUAUCCUUUGUAUGGAAAGAUUUUAUUUUUCCUUCAAUUCUCGGGGAUAGUUUUGCUGAGUAUAGUAGUCUGGGUUGGGUAAUAUUAACUUUUUUCUAAAAAUUGGAAAUGUUCUUCAUUUUCUGCUUUAUGGAAUACUUAAGGAGUAUUAGUGUUAAUUCCUUUUUUUGAAUAUGUGGUAGAAUUUUGAGCUAAAUCCAUCUGGCCCUGAACAUUUUAUUAAUUUAGAGAUUUUUAAGUAUCAUUUGUAACCCACUGGUGCCAUGUUCCUAUCUAAAUUAUUUCUUUUUUUUUAAAUCUUGAUUCAGCUCUGUUACCCCAUAUACAUGUGGAAAUUGAUCCAUUUCUUUUAGAUGUUCUGGUUUGAUGGGAUAAAGAUUUUUAAAGUAUGUAAUUACAACUGUCUGUCGGUUGCAAUCUCUCCCCUUUUAUCCCUAAUUUUGUAAAGUUAGAUUAAAAUGUGUUG
ensembl:antisense Mccc1os methylcrotonoyl-Coenzyme A carboxylase 1 (alpha), opposite strand